rnacentral:rRNA from 1 species
CCUACGGGAGGCAGCAGUGGGGAAUAUUGGGCAAUGGGCGCAAGCCUGACCCAGCAACGCCGCGUGAAGGAAGAAGGCCCUCGGGUUGUAAACUUCUUUUAUUCGGGACGAAACAAAUGACGGUAACGAAUGAAUAAGCCACCGCUAACUACGUGCCAGCAACCGCGGUAAUACGUAGGUGGAAAGCUUUAUCCGGAUUUACUGGGUGUAAAGGGCGUGUAGGCGGGGGGGCAAGUCAGACUUGAAAUUCCAGGGCUCAACCCUGGAACUGCGUUUGAAACUGUUAUUCUGGAGUGUUGGAGAGGCAGGCGGAAUUACGGGUGUAGCGGUGAAAUGCGUAGAUAUACGGAGGAACACCAGUGGCGAAGGCGGCCUGCUGGACAUUAACUGACGCUGAGGCGCGAAAGCGUGGGGAGCAAACAGGAUUAGAUACCCGAGUAGUC